GAGGGAGUACUAUCCAAAUAGGAUAUAUACUGAGGAUAUCAACAUCGGCCAUUCGGCCCUAAUUGGUCAAGGCACUGAUAUCAACAGCUAAAAAAUGAUAAAAUUAAUAUUGGUCACUCUAGCUGUCCGCUGGUACAUUAUCCUUCCUUUCGAUCAACUCGGAUGGAAUAAUCUGGCUUCCUGUGCUUCAUUUUUUUUUUUACCUGUAACGAUUUACAUCACAGAAUGAAACCAAAUUAAAUCCGCCAACUUUGAAGGGGCCAAUGCAAUUAGCCCUUGAACUGAAAACAGAUAUUGGCCGAAAAAUGACGAGGGAGCUGGUUGACACUUGUGCCAGUUGCUCUAGAGUUUGGACCCGCCACGGCGCCACGUGAGACGAGUUGGUGAGCGGUAUCCAUCACUUGGCGCGCGAUCCCUC
rnacentral:lncRNA from 1 species